rnacentral:lncRNA from 1 species
CAGAGCAGAGGAAGCAGCUAGUUCCAGCUUCAGGUUCAGCUUCUCCAUCGCAAUGGCUGGCACUGGCAGUACCUGGAUCCUGGUGUGUUUCCUCGCCUCUCCAACUUAAUUUCCUUGUUUCCUACUCCGUCUUCGUUUUCCUCCUCCCUCUUUGCACAUUUUUUGCUUCUUCACCUGCUGUAUCGAUGCGAUCUAUGCAAUUCAUAUUAGAAGAACUGGUUUCCCCUUUGCUCAACUCCAUUCGCUUGAUUGACCACGCAGCUGGAGCAGAAGGGGGCUGGGCCGGGAGCAAGAAGCUCCCACGCCAUCACGCUCGUCGGCGGCACGGCCUACUCCUUCGGCGGCGAGUUCACCCCGCGCCUGCCCGUGGACAACACCAUGUACGCCUUCGACCUCAAGGCGCAGUCCUGGUCCGCCCUCGACGCGGCCGGCGAGGUGCCCCCGCCGCGCGUCGGCGUCACCAUGGCCUCCGUCGGCGGCACGGUGUUCGUGUUCGGCGGCCGCGACAAGGACCACACGGAGCUCAACGAGCUCUACUCCUUCGACACGGCCACCAGCACCUGGACCCUGCUGUCCUCCGGCGACGACGGCCCGCCGCACCGGAGCUACCACUCCAUGGUGGCCGACGGCGAGGGGAGCCGCGUGUACGUCUUUGGCGGGUGCGGCAACGCCGGCAGGCUGAACGACCUGUGGGCCUACGACGUCGCCG